rnacentral:lncRNA from 1 species
AAGAAGAACCUUUAGAACCGCCCAUUGGUGCAAACCUGUUCAUUUCCUCGAUGGUGGGGUUCAAACUGGAUCAUUGCUACCACAACUUUGACUAAUUUUUGAAUCAAUUUGCUCAAAAAUGUAUGGUAUUCCUGGUUCAAAAGAUAGUGCUUGAGGAUAUUAAACUCACAUGUUCAUCGAAAGCAUUCUUAUUCUGAGACUUUGGGAGAUUUACUGGCAGUAAUAAUGACAACGGCAAUUGUUACGGAUGCGAUCAAUUUCAACUUCAUUUCACAAUGCAGCGCACAUAGCGAGCUCAAAACUCAACAAUGUGAGAGAGAACAAGAGAAAUUACAGUCCACGGGUUAAGUGUUACAUGACAGGGUUGAUGACUUUGCUAGAGCUUGUCGAGGGCAGCGCGAGAUGUAGUCGAGGAGGCAGAUGCGCAAGAACUGUACAAAUCGCAUGUGCUACUCUUGCCUACAUGAACAAUGGCUGUGGGGAAUUUAUCUUCUAG